rnacentral:rRNA from 1 species
GAUACCCCUGUAGUCCUGGCCGUAAACGAUGAACACUAGGUGUCGGGGGAAUCGACCCCCUCGGUGUCGUAGCCAACGCGUUAAGUGUUCCGCCUGGGGAGUACGCACGCAAGUGUGAAACUCAAAGGAAUUGACGGGGGCCCGCACAAGCGGUGGAGUAUGUGGUUUAAUUCGAUGCAACGCGAAGAACCUUACCAGGGUUUGACAUCCUGCGAAUCCCUUGGAAACUUGGGAGUGCCUUCGGGAGCGCAGUGACAGGUGGUGCAUGGCUGUCGUCAGCUCGUGUCGUGAGAUGUUGGGUUAAGUCCCGCAACGAGCGCAACCCACGUCUUUAGUUGCCAGCAUUGAGUUGGGCACUCUAGAGAGACUGCCGGUGAUAAACCGGAGGAAGGUGUGGAUGACGUCAAGUCAUCAUGCCCCUUACAUCCUGGGCUACACACGUACUACAAUGCUACGGACAAAGGGCAGCAAACUCGCGAGAGCUAGCAAAUCCCAUAAACCGUGGCUCAGUUCAGAUCGUAGGCUGCAACUCGCCUACGUGAAGGAGGAAUCGCUAGUAAUCGCAGGUCAGCAUACUGCGGUGAAUACGUUCCCGGGCCUUGUACACACCGCCCGUCACACCAUGGAAGUUGGCCACGCCCGAAGUCGUUACUCCAACCCUUGUGGAGGAGGAUGCCGAAGGUGGGGCUGAUGACUGGGGUGAAGUCGUAACAAGGUAGCCGUACCGGAAGGUGC